rnacentral:rRNA from 1 species
GAACGGUAACAGGAAGCAGCUUGCUGCUUCGCUGACGAGUGGCGGACGGGUGAGUAAUGUCUGGGAAACUGCCUGAUGGAGGGGGAUAACUACUGGAAACGGUAGCUAAUACCGCAUAACGUCGCAAGACCAAAGAGGGGGACCUUCGGGCCUCUUGCCAUCGGAUGUGCCCAGAUGGGAUUAGCUAGUAGGUGGGGUAACGGCUCACCUAGGCGACGAUCCCUAGCUGGUCUGAGAGGAUGACCAGCCACACUGGAACUGAGACACGGUCCAGACUCCUACGGGAGGCAGCAGUGGGGAAUAUUGCACAAUGGGCGCAAGCCUGAUGCAGCCAUGCCGCGUGUAUGAAGAAGGCCCUCGGGUUGUAAAGUACUUUCAGCGGGGAGGAAGGCGAUAAGGUUAAUAACCUUGUCGAUUGACGUUACCCGCAGAAGAAGCACCGGCUAACUCCGUGCCAGCAGCCGCGGUAAUACGGAGGGUGCAAGCGUUAAUCGGAAUUACUGGGCGUAAA